UUCAUCAACGUCCAUGUUUAGCUUGUCACGUCACACUCAUUAUCAUCAGCUGUUGAGCACCUUGUCAAAGAAGUCGGCACAUGGAAAUCACAAUGGAAAGGAGGAUUUUGCAUACAUUUUGAGAAUUUGUAUUCACUGGGUUUUCUACUGCUUCCAAGUGACUUGACAUGUAGGAAGUCUGCAUUAUCAUGAUUUUAAGAUAAAUGAGAAACAAUGGCUACUUCCAAUACAAUAGCACAUUUGAUAAAAUGAAUAAGACACAAG